GCCGGGUGUGGUGGCGCCUGCCUGUAUAGUCCCAGCUAUUCGGGAGGCUGAGGUGGGAGAACCACUUGAGCCCAGGAGUUCUAGGCUGUAGUGCACUAUGCCGAUAGGGUGUCCGUACUAAGUUCGGCAUCAAUAUGGUGACCUCCCGGGAGCAGAGGACCACCAGAUUGCCUAAAGAGGCGUGAGCCAGCCCAGGUGGGAAACGGAGCAGGUCAAAACUCCCGUGCUGAUCAGCAGUGGGAUCAUGCCUGUGAAUAGCCACUGCACUCCAGCCUGGGCAACAUAGCAAGACCCUGUCUCUA
ensembl:misc_RNA Metazoa_SRP Metazoan signal recognition particle RNA